rnacentral:rRNA from 1 species
AACGAACGCUGGCGGCAUGCCUAACACAUGCAAGUCGAACGAGACCUUCGGGCCUAGUGGCGCAGGUGUGCUUAACGCGUGGGAACCUGCCCUUAGGUUCGGAAUAACUCCCCGAAGGGGGUGCUAAUACCGGUUAAUGUCUUCGGACCAAAGAUUUCUUGCUUUUGGAUGGGCCUGCGUUGGAUUAGCUGGUUGGUAGGGUAAAAGCCUACCAAGGCGUCGUUCCAUGGCUGGUGUGUGAGGAGGAUCAGCCGCACUGGAACUGAGACACGGACCAGACUCGUACGGAAGGGAGCAGUAGAGAAUAUAAGAGGAGGGGGGAAAGUCUGGUAAAGCAGUGCCGCGUAAGAGAGGAAGGCGUUAGGGUUGUAAAGCUGUUUUACCCGAGAUGAUAGUGACAGUACCGGGAGAAUAAGCUCCGGCUAACUACGUG